GGGUGUGAGGAUACCAGGCGCCAUGUUGGUGGUCUAGGUUGAUUUUGCUGAUCCAACCAGUGGACUAGGUGAUGGGCCCCCCUCCUCACCAUUCUACAGAUGUCCUUCCUGGGGCUGCACUUCCAGCCAGAGAGAAAGGGAGUCUUCCCAGGUAGAGCAUCACUUUUGGGCCAAGGAUAUGUGAUGGCUUUGUCUGUUAACUGGCAUUCUAAGGAAAUAUGGAAUUCUAAUUACUCUUUAGAAUGAAUAUCCUAAAUUUUCAAAAUAUGCAUUACAUUAAAAUGGAGUAAGUAUGUUGUGCUCUUUCUU
rnacentral:snRNA from 1 species